GUGAAUCAUCGAAUCUUUGAAAGAAAAUUGCACUCUCUGGUAUUCCGGAGAGUAUGCCUGUUUGAGGGUCAGUUUAAAUAACAAUCGGUGUGGUUGCUGCCUUUCGUGGUGAUGCACCGGAUUUGGGUCGUCUUGCCUUCGGUUAAGUGAACUUUAAUUUUGCAUGAUUUUUUUCGAUCGUAAUUAAAUGAUUUUACGUACGUUUGCGAUAUAGAAUACUAGUUGUAGUUAUACUCAUGAUUAGCGACUAUAAUUUUUCAACCAAAUGAACAUAAAUCAGGUAAGAGUAC
rnacentral:misc_RNA from 1 species